UGAAAACUGAAAAUUGUUGAACGGUUGA
rnacentral:piRNA from 1 species